GUCUAUGGCCAUGCCACCCUGAACAAGCCCGAUGUCUGAUCUCGGAAGCUAAGCAGGGUCGGGCCUGGUUACUUCUUGGAUGGGAGACCACCUAGGAUAACCAGGUGCUAUAGGCU
rnacentral:rRNA from 1 species